UACGGGGGGGGCAAGCGUUGUUCGGAAUUACUGGGCGUAAAGGGCUCGUAGGCGGCCAACUAAGUCGGAUGUGAAAUCCCCAGGCUUAACCUGGGAACUGCAUCCGAUACUGGAUGGCUUGAAUCCGGGAGAGGGAUGCAGAAUUCCAGGUGUAGCGGUGAAAUGCGUAGAUAUCUGGAGGAAUACCGGUGGCGAAGGCGGCAUCCUGGACCGGCAUUGACGCUGAGGCACGAAAGCGUGGGGAGCAAACAGG
rnacentral:rRNA from 1 species